GCAGUAGUUAUGAAUGCUUACAGGCCCGUCUUAUGCUGACAGGAGAUGAACAGCCGUAGUCCUCCCUUUGCAGCCAUGACAGGACCAGACUGCUCUUUGGAGCAGCCUAUGCCAUGUAAACGCUUAAAUAUUAACCUAAAUGUAAAUACAGUACAAGAAAUGCUGCAGCAAUUACGGAAGGAGUUAAUGCUGCCUGAUCAUGGAGCCUUAUGUAAACUCAUAACCCACAAAAUAUUGAGCUUCUACAAAAGAAGGACAUCAUGGGAUGAAAGAAGAACAGAAGGGUUUGGGUCCCCAAGUGAACAUAUCCUUCCUCAUUUAUGAAGUUGCAUGGAAGAGCCAUUUACCACUGAAAUAAAAAGCCUGAAAAACGAUCUUCAGACAAUCUUUUUUAAUUUUGGGAAAGCUAUUGUUUCUGCAGACAUGCUAUUUUUAUUUUAGGUUUGUUAAUAAAUCUGUGAGUGUGAAAGAGAUGACACAGCGAUAUGUUGUAUUGCUAAUGUAUAUAUGCCCCUGGCAUCACAAGCUCUUUCAUGAGUUUCCUGUAACAAGUAACAAGUGCUUUAUGAUGUUUUGUUAUACAUUUUCCAAACUUUUCUGCCAAUGAAGUGCUUCUAUAGAACAGAUAAGCAAUAUUUGUUGCACAAGGCAUUAUAUAAUUGCCAAGGAAACUUAAGAUACAUGUGAAAGUAUACUCAAAGCUCCCACAUACGCACUGUAAAUGUAUCAGUCAUAAUUUUUUACAUUUACUAUAAAAUAUGCCAUGAACAUUUCCUACUGCAUAGCUUUGUGUUUGUCCAGUCCGGUGGUUAUUACCAACUAUACCCAUUAUUACCAAUAAAUGUAUGUUCUGUGCACAAAACAA